rnacentral:lncRNA from 1 species
AAUAAAUACUUCCAAUGUUGUAUGUCAAUUUAAAAAGGAAGUAACUUUAAAGCAACGACAAUUACUUUAUACCUAGCUUGUCCAACCGUCAGGUGACAGGCCGCAUGCAGCCCAGGGCAGCUUUGAAUGUGGCCCAACACAAAUUGGUAAACUUUCUCAAAACAUUGUGAUUUUUUUUACCAUUUUUUAAAGUUAUCAGCUAUUUUUCAUGUUAGUGUAUUUUAUGUGCAGUUCAAGACAAUGCUCCUUCUUUUAUGAUGGCCCAGGGAAGCCAAAAGAUUGGACAUCCCUGCAUUGGACCAAGAGAAAAGACACCCCACAUUCACAAUGCUUACAGACACUACCAGCCAUGCAAGAACCAUCAGACUGUUAACUUCCAAUCCUUCUUGAAGCAGUGGGAUCCCCUGGUGAUAGCUGAGGGGUGUGGUUACCUCUUGGAGGAGGUUGAGGGUUUCUAAGGAUGAUUCCUUGUGACUGAAAUAUGGUAAAGGUCAUCGGGCCUCUCAUUAUUCCAUUUGUUAUUAUUCCAGGUCAUCGAUGUCCUGCUUGCAAGUUUGUAUCCCGGGCCUGGCUUUUCUGAACUUCUCUGGAUGCUUAUUAUCAUUGCUGUCUCCCUGGGAAUUUGUUCCCUUGCCGUUUUGUUGUGGAUAACUGGCCUUGGUGUCAACAUGGCUGAAGAGGAACCUCGUCCUCUGCCACAAUGGCCCAACCUACCCUACUUCAUGGCUGGCCAGGCACCUCCUCCACCUCGGGGUCCUCUGGGACCUCGAUCACUCUCUGCAACUGAAGGUUCUCUAGAAGCUCUGAUACCUCCUUCACUGGAACAUCCUCUGGAGCCUGAAACACCUUCUCCAGCUGAAGGUUUCUUGAGAUCUCAGACAGCUCACGCAAGUGAGAUUCUGAAGGAACCUCAGCAACAUACUCCAGUUGAGUGUCCCCUGGAAACACAAUUACCUUGUAACCUUGAGUAUCCUCUGGAACUUAAACAAUCUCCUAUACUACAAUGUCCACUGGAACCUCAACUACCGCUUGAAAGUGAGCAUCCCCUGGGAGAUCAACAACCUCCUAUAAUACAGUAUCCACUGGGACCCCAACCACCUCCUGAAUGUGAGGGUCCCCUGGAAAUCCAACAUUCUGCAAUACUACAAUGUCCACUGGGACAUCAACCACCUCGUGAACUUGAGUGUUCACCGGAACCACAACCAUUUUUAUCUGAGAAUUCUACGGGACCUCAGACACUACCGAUACCCGAGUGUCUUCUGGAAGCUGAAGCACCUUGUCCAACUGAAGCAUUGCUGCCACCCCUGGUACCUUGUCUAAUAGAAAGUUUUCUUGGACCUGAACCACCAACUCCAGCUGACUGUUUGGUAGGAAUUCUAACAUACCUACUGACCUGUCCUCCAGAACCUCUACCACCUCCUGAAGGUGACGAUUUUCUGGAACGUGAGUCACAGCCUCCACUCGGGUUUCCACUGGGACCUCAAGCACCUCCAGAAGAAGGUUAUGUGGAACCUCCAUCACCUCGUGUACUCGAGUGUUUGCUGGGUCCUCAAACAGGUCCUGUAGUGGAGUGCCCACUGGAAUAUCAACCACCUCCAGAACAUGAGUGUCCCCUGGAAGAUCGACAACAUCCUAUAACUCAGUGUGAACUGGGACCUCAACCACCUCUAGAACGUGAGUGUCCCCAGGAAGUCCAACAACCUCCAAUACUACAGUGCCCACUGGGACAUCAACCAUCACCAGAACGUGAGUGUCCUGUGGAAGUUCAACAUCCUCCUAUAAUACAGUAUCCACAGGGACCUCAACCAUCUCUUGAACGUGAGGGUCUCCUGGAAGAUCAACAACCACCUAUACUACAAUGUCAACCGGGACCUCAACCACCUUUUGAACAUGAGUUUCCCCAGGAAGUCCAACAACCUCCAAUACUACAGUGCCCACUGAGACAUCAACCAUCUCCAGAACUUAAGUGUCCCCUGGAAGAUCGACAACCACCUAUAAUACAAUGUCAACCGGGACCUCAACCACCUCUAGAACAUGAGUGUCCCCAGGAAGUCCAACAGCCUCCAAUCCUGCAGUGCCCAAUGGGACAUCAACCAUUUCCAGAACGUGAGUGUCCCCGGGAAGAUCAACAACAUUGUAUAAUUCAAUGUGAACUGGGACCUCGACCACCUCUAGAACAUGAGUGUCCCCAGGAAGUUCAACAAUUUCCAAUACUACAGUGCCCACUGGGACAUCAACCGUCUCCAGAAUGUGAGAGUCCCCUGGAAGAUCGACAACAUCCUGUAAUUCAAUGUGAACUAGGACCUCAACCACCUCUAGAACAUGAGUGUCCCCAGGGAGUCCAACAGCCUCCAAUCCUGCAGUGCCCACUGGGACAUCAACCAUUUCCAGAACGUGAAUGUCCCCGGGAAGAUCAACAACAUCAUAUAAUUCAAUGUGAACUGGGACCUCGACCACCUCUAGAACAUGAGUGUCCCCAGGAAAUCCAACAACCUCCAAUACUGCAGUGCCCACUGGAACAUCAGCCAUCUCCAGAAAGUGAGUGUCCCCUGGAAGAUCAACAGCAUCCUAUAAUUCAGUAUGAACUGGGACCUCAACCACCUCGUGAACUUGAGUGUUCACCAGAACCACAAACAUUUUUAUCUGAGAAUUCUCCAGGACCUCAGACACUACUGAUACUUGAGUGUCCUCUGGAAGCUGAAGCACCUUGUCCAACUGAAGCAUUGCUGCCACCCCUGGUACCUUGUCUAAUAGAGUGCUUUCUGGGACCGGAACGACCAACUCCAGCUGAUUGUUUGGUAGGAAUUCUAACAUAUCUACUGACCUGUCCUCCAGAACCUCUACCACCUCCUGAAGGUGACGAUUUUCUGGAACGUGAGUCACAGCCUCCACUCAGGUUUCCACAGGGACCUCAAGCACCUCCAGAAGAAGGUUAUGUGGAACUUCCAUCACCUCGUGUACUCGAGUGUUUCCUGGGCUCUCAAACAGGUCCUGUAGUGGAGUGCCCACUGGAAUAUCAACCACCUCCAGAACAUGAGUGUCCCCUGGAAGAUCGACAACAUCCUAUAAUUCAGUGUGAACUGGGACCUCAAACACCUCUAGAACGUGAGUGUCCCCUGGAAAAUCAACAAUCACCUAUACUACAAUGUCAACCGGGACCUCAGCCACCUCUUGAACGUGAGUGUCCCCAGGAAGUCCAACAUCCUCCAAUAUUACAGUGCCCCCUGGGACAUCAACCAUCACCACAACGUGAGUGUCCUUUGGAAGUUCAACAACCUCCUAUAAUACAGUAUCCACAGGGACCUCAAACACCUCUUGAACGUGAGUGUCUCCUGGAAGAUCAACAACCACCUAUACUACAAUGUCAAUUGGGACCUCAACCACCUCUAGAACAUGAGUGUCCCCAGGAAGUCCAACAACUUCCAAUACUACAAUGCCCACUCGGACAUCAACCAACUACAGAUUGUGAGUGUCCCCUGGAAGAUCGACAACAUCCUAUAAUUCAGUGUGAACUGGGACCUCAACCAACUCUAGAACAUGAGUGUCCCCAGGAAGUCCAACAACCUCCAAUACUACAGAACCCACUGGGACAUCAACCAUCUCCGGAACGUAAGUGUCCCCUGGAAGAUCGACAACCACCUAUAAUACAAUGUCAACCGGGACCUCAACCACCUCUAGACCAUGAGUGUCCCCAGGAAGUCCAACAGCCUCCAAUCCUGCAGUGCCCACUGGGACAUCAACAAUUUCCAGAACGUGAGUGUCCCCGGGAAGAUCAACAACAUUGUAUAAUUCAAUGUGAACUGGGACCUCAAGCACCUCUAGAACAUGAGUGUCCCCAGGAAGUUCAACAAUUUCCAAUACCACAGUGCCCACUGGGACAUCAACCGUCUCCAGAAUGUGAGAGUCCCCUGGAAGAUCGACAACAUCCUGUAAUUCAAUGUGAACUAGGACCUCAACCACCUCUAGAACAUGAGUGUCCCCAGGAAGUCCAACAACCUCCAAUAAUGCAGUGCCCACUGGGACAUCAACCAUCUACAGAACGUGAGUGUCCUCUGGAAGAUCGACAACAUCCUAUAAUUCAGUGUGAACUGGGACCUCAACCACCUCGUGAACUUGAGUGUUCACCAGAACCACAAACAUUUUUAUCUGAGAAUUCUCCGGGACCUCAGACACUACCGAUACUUGAGUGUCCUCUGGAAACUGAAGCACCUUGUCCAACUGAAGCAUUGCUGCCACCCCUGGUACCUUGUCUAAUAGAGUGCUUUCUGGGACCGGAACGACCAACUCCAGCUGAUUGUUUGGUAGGAAUUCUAACAUAUCUACUGACCUGUCCUCCAGAACCUCUACCACCUCCUGAAGGUGACAAUUUUCUGGAACGUGAGUCACAGCCUUCACUCGGAUUUCCACUGGGACCUCAAGCACCUCCAGAAGGUUAUGUGGAACCUCCAUCACCUCGUGUACUUGAGUGUUUGCUGGGUCCUCAAACAGGUCCUGUAGUGGAGUGCCCACUGGAAUAUCAACCACCUCCAGAACGUGAGUGUCCCCUGGAAGAUCGACAACAUCCUAUAACUCAGUGUGAACUGAGACCUCAACAACCUCUAGAACGUGAGUGUCCCGAGGAAGUCCAACAAUCUCCAAUAACACAGUGCCCACUGGGACAACAACCAUCUCCAGAACGUGAGUGUCCCAUGAAAGUUGAACAACCUCCUAUACUGCAGUAUCCACAGGGACCUCAACCACCUCUUAAACGUGAGUGUCCCCUGGAAGAUCAACAAUCACCUAUAAUACAAUAUCAACUUGGACCUCAACCACGUCUUGAAUGUGGGUGUUCCCAGGAAGUUGAACAAACUUCAAUACUACAGUGCCCACUGGGACAUCAACCAUCACCAGAACGUGAGUGUCCUGUGGAAGUUCAACAUCCUCCUAUAAUACAGUAUCCACAGGGACCUCAAACACCUCUUGAACGUGAGUGUCUCCUGGAAGAUCAACAACCACCUAUACUACAAUGUCAACCGGGACCUCAACCACCUCUUGAACAUGAGUGUCCCCAGGAAGUCCAACAACCUCCAAUCAUGCAGUGCCCACUGGGACAUCAACCAUUUCCAGAACGUGAGUGUCCCCGGGAAGAUCGACAACAUCAUAUAAUUCAGUGUGAACUGGGACCUCAACCACGUCAUGAAGUUGAGUGUUCACCAGAGCCACAACCAUUUUUAUCUGAUAAUUCUCCGGGACCUCAGACACUACCGAUACUUGAGUGUCCUCUGGAAGUUGAAGCACCUUGUCCAACUGAAGCAUUGCUGCCACCCCUGGUACCUUGUCUAAUAGAGUGCUUUCUAGGACCCGAACGACCAACUCCAGCUGAUUGUUUGGUAGGAAUUCUAACAUAUCUACUGACCUGUCCUCCAGAACCUCUACCACCUCCUGAAGGUGACGAUUUUCUGGAACGUGAGUCACAGCCUCCUCUCGGGUUUCCACUGGGACCUCAAGCACCUCCAGAAGAAGGUUAUGUGGAACCUCAAUCACCUCGUGUACUCGAGUGUUUGCUGGGUCCUGAAACAGGUCCUGUAGUACAGGGCCCACUGGAUUAUCAACCACCUCCAGAACGUGAGUGUCCCCUGGAAGAUCGACAACAUCCUAUAAUUCAGUGUGAACUGGGACCUCAAACACCUCUAGAACGUGAGUGUCCCCAGGAAGUCCAACAACCUCCAAUAACACAGUGCCCACUGGGACAACAACCAUCUCCAGAACGUGAGUGUCCCAUGAAAGUUCAACAACCUCCUAUAAUGCAGUAUCCACAGGGACCUCAACCACCUCUGAAACGUGAAUGUCCUCUGAAAGAUCAACAAUCACCUAUACUACAAUGUCAACCGGGACCUCAGCCACCUCUUGAAUGUGAGUGUCCCCAGGAAGUCCAACAACCUCCAAUACUACAGUGCCCACUGGGACAUCAACCAUCAGCAGAAUGUGAGUGUCCUGUGGAAGUUCAACAACCUCCUAUAAUACAGUAUCCACAGGGACCUCAACCACCUCUUGAAUGUGAGUGUCUCCUGGAAGAUCAACAACCACCUAUACUACAAUGUCAACUGGGACCACAACCACCUUUUGAACACGAGUUUCGCCAGGAAGUCCAACAGCCUCCAAUCCUGCAGUGCCCACUGGGACAUCAACCAUUUCCAGAACGUGAGUGUCCCCGGGAAGAUCAACAACAUUGUAUAAUUCAAUGUGAACUGGGACCUCAACCACCUCUAGAACAUGAGUGUCCCCAAGAAGUCCAAAAACCUCCAAUACUGCAGUGCCCACUGGAACAUCAGCCAUCUCCAGAACGUGAGUGUCCCCUGAAAGAUCGACAACAUCCUAUAAUUCAGUGUGAACUGGGACCUCAACCACCUCGUGAACUUGAGUGUUCACCAGAACCACAAAUAUUUUUAUCUGAGAAUUCUCCAGGACCUCAGACACUACCGAUACUUGAGUGUCCUCUGGAAACUGAAGCACCUUGUCCAACUGAAGCAUUGCUGCCACCCCUGGUACCUUGUCUAAUAGAGUGCUUUCUGGGACUCGAACGACCAACUCCAGCUGAUUGUUUUGUAGGAAUCCUAACAUAUCUACUGACCUGUCCUCCAGAACCUCUACCACCUCCUGAAGGUGACGAUUUUCUGGAACGUGAGUCACAGCCUCCACUCGGGCUUCCACUGGGACCUCAAGCACCUCCAGAAGAAGGUUAUGUGGAACCUCCAUCACUUCGUGUACUCGAGUGUUUGCAGGGCCCUCAAACAUGUCCUGUAGUGCAGGGCCCACUGGAAUAUCAACCACCUCCAGAGUGUCCCCUGGAAGAUCGACAGCCUCCUAUAAUUCAGUGUGAACUGGGACCUCAAACACCUCUUGAACGUGAGUGUCUCCUGGAAGAUCAACAACCACCUAUACUACAAUGUCAACCUGGACCUCAACCACCUUUGGAACAUGAGUUUCCCCAGGAAGUCCAACAACCUACAAUACUACAGUGCCCACUGAGACAUCAACCAUCUCCAGAACUUAAGUGUCCCCUGGAAGAUCGACAACCACCUAUAAUACAAUGUCAACCGGGACCUCAACCACCUCUAGAACAUGAGUGUCCCCAGGAAGUCCAACAACCUCCAAUCCUGCAGUGCCCACUGGGACACCAACCAUUUCCAGAAUGUGAGUGUCCCCGGGAAGAACAACAACAUCGUAUAAUUCAAUGUGAACUGGGACCUCCACCACCUCUAGAACAUGAGUGUCCCCAGGAAGUUCAACAAUUUCCAAUACUACAGUGCCCACUGGGACAUCAACCAUCUCCAGAAUGUGAGAGUCCCCUGGAAGAUCGACAACAUCCUGUAAUUCAAUGUGAACUGGGACCUCAACCACCUCUAGAACAUGAGUGUCCCCAGGAAGUCCAACAACCUCUAAUACUGCAGUGCCCACUGGAACAUCAACCAUCUCCAGAAAAUGAGUGUCCCCUGGAAGAUCGACAACAUCCUAUAAUUCAGUGUGAACUGGGACCUCAACCACCUCGUGAACUUGAGUGUUCACCAGAACCACAAAUAUUUUUAUCAGAGAAUUCUCCAGGACCUCAGACACUACCGAUACUUGAGUGUCCUCUGGAAACUGAAGCACCUUGUCCAACUGAAGCAUUGCUGCCACCCCUGGUACCUUGUCUAAUAGAGUGCUUUCUAGGACCCGAACGACCAACUCCAGCUGAUUGUUUGGUAGGAAUUCUAACAUAUCUACUGACCUGUCCUCCAGAACCUCUACCACCUCCUGAAGGUGACGAUUUUCUGGAACGUGAGUCACAGCCUCCUCUCAGGUUUCCACUGGGACCUCAAGCACCUCCAGAAGAAGGUUAUAUGGAACCUCCAUCACCUCGUGUACUCGAGUGUUUGCUGGGCCCUCAAACAGGUCCUGUAGUGCAGGGCCCACUGGAAUAUCAACCACCUCCAGAAUGUGAGUGUCCCCUGGAAGAUCGACAACCUCCUAUAAUUCAGUGUGAACUGGGACCUCAAACACCUCUUGAACGUGAGUGUCUCCUGGAAGAUCAACAACCACCUAUACUACAGUGUCAACCGGGACCUCAACCACCUUUUGAACAUGAGUUUCCCCAGGAAGUCCAACAACCUCCAAUAACACAGUGCCCACUGGGACAACAACCAUCUCCAGAACGUGAGUGUCCCAUGAAAGUUCAACAACCUCCUAUAAUGCAGUAUCCACAGGGACCUCAACCACCUCUUAAACGUGAGUGUCCCUUGAAAGAUCAACAAUCAGCUAUACUACACUGUCAACCGAAACCUCAGCCACCUCUUGAAUGUGAGUGUCUCCUGGAAGAUCAACAACCACCUAUACUACAAUGUCAACCGGGACCCCAACCACCUUUUAAACAUGAGUUUCCCCAGGAAGUCCAACAACCUUCAAUACUACAGUGCCCACUGAGACAUCAACCAUCUCCAGAACUUAAGUGUCCCCUGGAAGAUCGACAACCACCUAUACUACAAUGUCAACCGGGACCUCAACCACCUCUAGAACAUGAGUGUCCCCAGGAAGUCCAACAACCUCUAAUCCUGCAGUGCCCACUGGGACAUCAACCAUUUACAGAAUGUGAGUGUCCCCAGGAAGAUCAACAACAUUGUAUAAUUCAAUGUGAACUGGGACCUCAACCACCUCUAGAACAUGAGUGUCCCCAGGAAGUUCAACAAUUUCCAAUGCUACAGUGCCCACUGGGACAUCAACCAUCUCCAGAAUGUGAGAGUCCCCUGGAAGAUCGACAACAUCCUAUAAUUCAGUGUGAACUGGGACCUCAACCACCUCGUGAACUUGAGUGUUCACCAGAACCACAACCAUUUUUAUCUGAGAAUUCUCCGGGACCUCAGACACUACCGAUACUUGAGUGCCCUCUGGAUGCUGAAGCACCUUGUCCAACUGAAGCAUUGCUGCCACCCCUGGUACCUUGUCUAAUAGAGUGCUUUCUGGGACCCGAACGACCAACUCCAGCUGAUUGUUUGGUAGGAAUCCUAACAUAUCUACUGACCUGUCCUCCAGAACCUCUACCACCUCCUGAAGGUGAGGAUUUCCUGGAACGUGAGUCACAGCCUCCACUCGGGUUUCCACUGGGACCUCAAGCACCUCCAGAAGAAGGUUAUGUGGAACCUCCAUCACCUCGUGUACUUGAGUGUUUGCUGGGCCCUCAAACAGGUCCUGCAGUGGAGUGCCCACUGGAAUAUCAACCACCUCCAGAACGUGAGUGUCCCCUGGAAGAUCGACAACCUCCUAUAAUUCAGUGUGAACUGGGACCUCAACCACCUCUAGAACGUGAGUGUCCCCAGGAAGUCCAACAACCUCCAAUACUACAGUGCCCACUGGGACAUCAACCAUCUCCAGAACGUGAGUGUCCCCUGGAAGAUCGACAACCUCCUAUAAUUCAGUGUGAACUGGGACCUCAAACACCUCUUGAACAUGAGUGUCUCCUGGCAGAUCAACAACCACCUAUACUACAAUGUCAACCGGGACCUCAACCACCUUUUGAACAUGAGUUUCCCCAGGAAGUCCAACAACCUACAAUACUACAGUGCCCACUGAGACAUCAACCAUCUCCAGAACUUAAGUGUCCCCUGGAAGAUCGACAACCACCUAUAAUACAAUGUCAAGCGGGACCUCAACCACCUCUAGAACAUGAGUGUCCCCAGGAAGUCCAACAACCUCCAAUCCUGCAGUGCCCACUGGGACAUCAACCAUUUCUAGAACAUGAGUGUCCCCGGGAAGAUCAACAACAUCGUAAAAUUCAAUGUGAACUGGGACCUCGACCACCUCUAGAACAUGAGUGUCCCCAGGAAAUCCAAGAACCUCCAAUACUGCAGUGCCCACUGGAACAUCAGCCAUCUCCAGAACGUGAGUGUCCCCUGGAAGAUCGACAACAUCCUAUAAUUCAGUGUGAACUGGGACCUCAACCACCUCGUGAACUUGAGUGCUCACCAGAACCACAACCAUUUUUAUCUGGUAAUUCUCCGGGACCUCAGACACUACCAAUACUUGAGUGUCCUCUGGAAGCUGAAGCAUCUUGUCCAACUGAAGCAUUGCUGCCACCCCUGGUACCUUGUCUAAUAGAGUGCUUUCUGGGACCGGAACGACCAACUCCAGCUGAUUGUUUGGUAGGAAUUCUAACAUAUCUACUGACCUGUCCUCCAGAACCUCUACCACCUCCUGAAGGUGAUGAUUUUCUGGAACGUGAGUCACAGCCUCCACUCGAGUUUCCAUUGGGACCUCAAGCACCUCCAGAAGAAGGUUAUGUGGAACCUCCAUCACCUCGUGUACUCGAGUGUUUGCUGGGCCCUGAAACUGGUCCUGUAGUGGAGUGCCCACUGGAAUAUCAACCACCUCCAGAAUGUGAGUGUCCCCUGGAAGAUCGACAACCACCUAUACUACAAUGUCAAUUGGGACCUCAACCACCUCUAGAACGUGAGUGUCCCCAGGAAGUCCAACAACCUCCAAUACUACAGUGCCCACUCGGACAUCAACCAACUCCAGAUUGUGAGUGUCCCCUGGAAGAUCGACAACAUCUUAUAAUUCAGUGUGAACUGGGACCUCAAACACCUCUAGAACGUGAGUGUCCCCGGGAAGUCCAACAACCUCCAAUACUACAGGACCCACUGGGACAUCAACCAUCUCCGGAACGUAAGUGUCCCGUGGAAGAUCGACAACCACCUAUAAUACAAUGUCAACCGGGACCUCCACCACCUCUUGAACGUAAGUGUCUCCUGGAAGAUCAACAACCACCUAUACUACAAUGUGAACCGGGACCUCAACCACCUCUUGAACAUGAGUGUCCCCAGGAAGUCCAACAACCUCCAAUCCUGCAGUGCCCACUGGGACAUCAACCAUUUCCAGAACGUGAGUGUCCCCGGGAAGAUCGACAACAUCGUAUAAUUCAAUGUGAACUGGGACCUCAACCACCUCUAGAACAUGAGUGUCCCCAGGAAGUUCAACAACUUCCACUACUACAGUGCCCACGUGGACAUCAACCAUCUCCAGAAUGUGAGUGUCCCCUGGAAGAUAGACAACAUCCUGUGAUUCAAUGUGAACUAGGACCUCAACCACCUAUAGAACAUGAGUGUCCCCAGGAAGUCCAAGAACCUCCAAUACUGCAGUGCCCACUGGGACGUCAACCAUCUCCAGAAUGUGAGUGUCCCCUGGAAGAUCGACAACAUCCUGUAAUUCAAUGUGAACUAGGACCUCAACCACCUCUAGAACAUGAGUGUCCCCAGGAAGUCCAACAACCUCCAAUACUGCAGUGCCCACUGGGACAUCAACCAUCUCCAGAACCUGAGAGUCCCCUGGAAGAACGACAACAUCGUAUAAUUCAGUAUGAACUGGGACCUCAGCCACCUCUAGAACAUGAGUGUCCCCAGGAAGUACAACCACCUCCAAUACUACAGUGCCCACUGGGACAUCAACCAUCUUCAGAACGUGAGUGUCCCCUGGAAGAUCAACAGCAUCCUAUAAUUCAGUGUGAACUGGGACCUCAACCACCUCGUGAACUUGAGUGUUCACCAGAACCACAACCAUUUUUAUCUGAGAACUCUCUGGGACCUCAGACACUACCGAUACUUGAGUGUCCUCUGGAAGCUGAAGCACCUUGUCCAACUGAAGCAUUGCUGCCACCCCUAGUACCUUGUCUAAUAGAGUGCUUUCUAGGAUCCGAACGACCAACUCCAGCUGAUUGUUUAACAUAUCUACUGACCUGUCCUCCAGAACCUCUACCACCUCCUGAAGGUGACGAUUUUCUGGAACGUGAGUCACCGCCUCCACUCGGAUUUCCACUGGGACCUCAAGCACCUCCAGAAGAAGGUUAUGUGGAACCUCCAUCACCUCAUUUACUCGAGUGUUUGCUGGGCCCUCAAACAGGUCCUGUAGUGCAGGGCCCACUGGAAUAUCAAUCACCUCCAGAACGUGAGUGUCCCCUGGAACAUCAACAACAUCCUAUAAUUCAGUGUAAACUGGGACCUCAACCACCUCUAGAACGUGAGUGUCCCCAGGAAGUCCAACAACCUACAAUACUACAGGGCCCACGGGGACAUCAACCAUUUCCAGAACAUGAGUGUCCCAUGGAAGUUCAACAACCUUCUAUAAUACAGUAUUUACAGGGACAUCAACCACCUCUUAAACAUGAGUGUCCCCUGGAAGAUCAACAAUCACCUAUACUACAAUGUCAACCGGGACCUCAACCACCUCUUGAAUGUGAGUGUCCCCAGGAAGUCCAACAACCUCCAAUACUACAGUGCCCACUGGGACAUCAACCAUCUCCAGAAGUUAAGUGUCCCCUGGAAGAUCGACAACCACCUAUAAUACAAUGUCAACCGGGACCUCAACCACCUCUAGAACAUAAGUGUCCCCAGGAAGUCCAACAGCCUCCAAUCCUGCAGUGCCCACUGGCACAUCAACCAUUUCCAGAACAUGAGUGUCCCCGGGAAGAUCAACAUCAUCGUAUAAUUCAAUGUGAACUGGGACCUCGACCACCUCUAGAACAUGAGUGUCCCCAGGAAAUCCAAGAACCUCCAACACUGCAGUGCCCACUGGAACAUCAGCCAUCUCCAGAACGUGAGUGUCCCCUGGAAGAUCGACAACAUCCUAUAAUUCAGUGUGAACUGGGACCUCAACCACCUCGUGAACUUGAGUGUUCACCAGAACCACAAACAUUUUUAUCUGAGAAUUCUCCGGGACCUCAGACACUACUGAUACUUGAGUGUCCUCUGGAAGCUGAAGCACCUUGUCCAACUGAAGCAUUGCUGCCACCCCUGGUACCUUGUCUAAUAGAGUGCUUUCUGGGACCCGAACGACCAACUCCAGCUGAUUGUUUGGUAGGAAUUCUAACAUAUCUACUGACCUGUCCUCCAGAACCUCUACCACCUCCUGAAGGUGACGAUUUUCUGGAAUGUGAGUCACAGCCUCCUCUCGGGUUUCCAUUGGGACCUCAAGCACCUCCAGAAGAAGGUUAUGUGGAACCUCCGUCACCUCGUGUACUCGAGUGUUUGCUGGGUCCUCAAACAGGUCCUUUAGUGGAGUGCCCACUGGAAUAUCAACCACCUCCAGAACGUGAGUGUCCCCUGGAAGAUAGACAACAUCUUAUAACUCAGUGUGAACUGAGACCUCAACCACCUCCAGAACGUGAGUGUCCCCUGGAAGAUCAACAAUCACCUAUACUACAAUGUCAACCGGGACCUCAGCCACCUCUUGAACGUGAGUGUCCCCAGGAAGUCCAACAUCCUUUAAUAUUACAGUGCCCCCUGGGACAUCAACCAUCACCACAACGUGAGUGUCCUUUGGAAGUUCAACAACCUCCUAUAAUACAGUAUCCACAGGGACCUCAAACACCUCUUGAAUGUGAGUGUCUCCUGGAAGAUCAACAACCACCUAUACUACAAUGUCAAUUGGGACCUCAACCACCUCUAGAACGUGAGUGUCCCCAGGAAGUCCAACAACCUCCAAUACCACAGUGCCCACGCGGACAUCAACCAACUCCAGAUUGUGAGUGUCCCCUGGAAGAUCGACAACAUCUUAUAAUUCAGUGUGAACUGGGACCUCAAACACCUCUAGAACGUGAGUGUCCCCGGGAAGUCCAACAACCUCCACUACUACAGGACCCACUGGGACAUCAACCAUCUCCGGAACGUAAGUGUCCCCUGGAAGAUCGACAACCACCUAUAAUACAAUGUCAACCGGGACCUCAACCACCUCGUGAACGUAAGUGUCUCCUGGAAGACCAACAACCACCUAUACUACAAUGUGAACCGGGACCUCAACCACCUCUUGAACAUGAGUGUCCCCAGGAAGUCCAACAACCUCCAAUCCUGCAGUGCCCACUGGGACAUCAACCAUUUCCAGAACGUGAGUGUCCCCGGGAAGAUCGACAACAUCGUAUAAUUCAAUGUGAACUGGGACCCCAACCACCUCUAGAACAUGAGUGUCCCCAGGAAGUUCAACAACUUCCACUACUACAGUGCCCACUGGGACAUCAACCAUCUCCAGAAUGUGAGUGUCCCCUGGAUGAUCGACAACAUCCUGUAAUUCAAUGUGAACUAGGACCUCAACCACCUCUAGAACAUGAGUGUCCCCAGGAAGUCCAACAACCUCCAAUACUGCAGUGCCCACUGGGACAUCAACCAUCUCCAGAACCUGAGAGUCCCCUGGAAGAACGACAACAUCGUAUAAUUCAGUAUGAACUGGGACCUCAGCCACCUCUAGAACAUGAGUGUCCCCAGGAAGUACAACCACCUCCAAUACUACAGUGCCCACUGGGACAUCAACCAUCUUCAGAACGUGAGUGUCCCCUGGAAGAUCAACAGCAUCCUAUAAUUCAGUGUGAACUGGGACCUCAACCACCUCGUGAACUUGAGUGUUCACCAGAACCACAACCAUUUUUAUCUGAGAACUCUCUGGGACCUCAGACACUACCGAUACUUGAGUGUCCUCUGGAAGCUGAAGCACCUUGUCCAACUGAAGCAUUGCUGCCACCCCUGGUACCUUGUCUAAUAGAGUGCUUUCUGGGACCGGAACGACCAACUCCAGCUGAUUGUUUGGUAGGAAUCCUAACAUAUCUACUGACCUGUCCUCCAGAACCUCUACCACCUCCUGAAGGUGACGAUUUUCUGGAACGUGAGUCACCGCCUCCACUCGGAUUUCCACUGGGACCUCAAGCACCUCCAGAAGAAGGUUAUGUGGAACCUCCAUCACCUCAUGUACUCGAGUGUUUGCUGGGCCCUCAAACAGGUCCUGUAGUGGAGUGCCCACUGGAAUAUCAACCACCUCCAGAACAUGAGUGUCCCCAGGAAUUCCAACAACCUCCAAUACUACAGUGCCCACUCGGACAUCAACCAACUCCAGAUUGUGAGUGUCCCCUGGAAGAUCGACAACAUCCUAUAAUUCAGUGUAAACUGGGACCUCAACCACCUCUAGAACGUGAGUGUCCCCUGGAAGAUCAACAAUCACCUAUACUACAGUGUCAACCGGGACCUCAGCCACCUCUUGAACAUGAGUGUCCCCAGGAAGUCCAACAUCCUUUAAUAUUACAGUGCCCCCUGGGACAUCAACCAUCACCACAACGUGAGUGUCCUUUGGAAGUUCAACAACCUCCUAUAAUACAGUAUCCACAGGGACCUCAAACACCUCUUGAACCUGAGUGUCUCCUGGAAGAUCAACAACCACCUAUACUACAAUGUCAAUUGGGACUUCAACCACCUCUAGAACGUGAGUGUCUUCAGGAAGUCCAACAACCUCCAAUACUACAGUGCCCACUCGGACAUCAACCAACUCCAGAUUGCGAGUGUCCCCUGGAAGAUCGACAACAUCCUAUAAUUCAGUGUGAACUGGGACCUCAACCACCUCUAGAACGUGAGUGUCCCCAGGAAGUCCAACAACCUCUUAUACGACAGUGUCCAGUGGGACCUCAAGCACCUCCUGAAGGUGAGUGUGCCCUGGAAGUUCAACAACAUGUUAUACUACAGUGCCCACUGGGACCUCAAUCAUCACCUGAAUGAUAAUUUCAAAAUUAGAAGACUCUCCUGAGCCGUGAUAUCUUUGCAAAGUUUCCAACAUGUUUUACGCUCCAUGCUGGUGCUGUCUCCUCCCCCUGUCAUUUCCAUAAUGUCUCCCUUAAUAAACAUUUGCAGUCCUAUCUGUCUGGGCAUCUGCUUCCUGGAGGACCAGCUCACACCCCAGGGCAUACCAGGUGUGACUCCUCAUAUGCUAUUCUAACCCACAGAGGGUUAGCCUUUGGAGGGUGUUAACUGGGAGGGGUUGAGGGGGCCUUCUGGGGUGGGGGAACAU